CGAUGCCGGAAAAUAUUUAUUUAAACUAUUUAUCAGAGUCUGAUAAACUGACAAAGGUGGAUAAAGAUGAAAAAAGGUGUAACUUUAAACCAAUGCAGAGGAAUUUAUCUUGUCUUCUCUUCCUGUCUCUGCUGGCAAAUGCGGGGUUGGCAUAUCUGUAUCACAACAAAAACCCAAAUCUAUUUUGUGAACAAAGAAGACUCUGCUUGAAUUCAGACCCUCAUUUAGAUGCCCAUCAAAUUAUGAAAAUAAACUCCAUGAAAAAUCACAGCCUACCAAACCA